rnacentral:misc_RNA from 1 species
GAUGAAGAACGUAGCGAAAUGCGAUACGUAAUGUGAAUUGCAGAAUUCAGUGAAUCAUCGAAUCUUUGAACGCAUAUUGCGCUCUCUGGUAUUCCGGAGAGCAUGCUUGUUUGAGUAUCAGUAAACACCUCAACUUCCAUAUCUUUUUUGAAAUGGGAGUUGGACUUGAGUGAUCCCAACGCUUUUCCUCACCGAAAAGUGGCGGGUUACUUGAAAUGCAGGUGCAGCUGGACUUUUCUCUGAGCUAUAAGCAUAUCUAUUUAGUCUGCCUAAAAACAGAUUAUUACCUUUGCUGCAGCUAACAUAAAGGAGGUUAGUUCUUGUGCUGACUGAUGCAGGAUUCACAAAGACAGGCUUCGGCCGACUUUGUAAACUCGAUCUCAAAUCAAGUAAGACUACCCGCUGAACUUAAGCAUAUCAAUAAGCGGAGGA